UACGGGGGGGGCAAGCGUUGUUCGGAAUUACUGGGCGUAAAGGGCUCGUAGGUGGCCAACUAAGUCGGACGUGAAAUCCCUCAGCUUAACUGGGGAACUGCGUCCGAUACUGGAUGGCUUGAGUUUGGGAGAGGGAUGCGGAAUUCCAGGUGUAGCGGUGAAAUGCGUAGAUAUCUGGAGGAACACCGGUGGCGAAGGCGGGCCUCUGGGCCGAUACUGACGCUGAGGAGCGAAAGCGUGGGGAGCGAACAGG
rnacentral:rRNA from 1 species